rnacentral:snoRNA from 1 species
AGCGCAACAACCCUUGGGCCGGUGGCGCACUGUCGGUGCCGCGCGUGGCGCCCCCUGUCGGUUGCGCGAGAGUU